UACAGAGGGUGCAAGCGUUGUUCGGAAUUAUUGGGCGUAAAGCGCGUGUAGGCGGCUUGGCAAGUCGGGUGUGAAAGCCCUCAGCUCAACUGAGGAAGUGCGCCCGAAACUGCUUUGCUUGAGUGCUGGAGAGGGUCGCGGAAUUCCCCAAGUAGAGGUGAAAUUCGUAGAUAUGGGGAGGAACACCGGUGGCGAAGGCGGCGACCUGGACAGUAACUGACGCUGAGACGCGAAAGCCAGGGGAGCGAACGGG
rnacentral:rRNA from 1 species